GGAAAAGCCCUAUAUAUCUUAUUAGUCAAGCCUAAAGGCCCUUUACUAAUAUAAUAGAAGGUAAGACCGGCUUUCGCGCAGCAGCUGCGCCCUUGCUUCUUGCCCAUAGAGAGUUAGGAUAUUUUGUGAGCUCCUUCGCCUAGCGGAAACCUCCGCUUUUCGGCCGUAAUCCCGUGCUUUACCAACGCAUUCAAUGGAUUCCACCAUGAACCAUAUCUUAAUAGUCAAGCCUAAAGUCCCUUUACUAUUAUAAUAGAAGGUAAGACUAGCUUUCACGCAGCAGUUGCGCCCUUGCGUCUUGCCCAUAGAGAGUUAGGAUAUUUUGUGAGCUCAUUUGCCUAGCCGAAACUUCUGCUUUUCGGCUGUAAUCGGGUGCUUUACCAACACAUUCAAUGGAUUACACCAUGAACUGGGAGCGGGCGAAGACAUGCAGCUUCCAUUUUGGGGUACACAGUCACGUGUUGAGCAAAGAGGUAUAUAUCACACUCAUUCACAAGC
rnacentral:lncRNA from 1 species